GACGAACGCUAGCGGCGUGCUUAACACAUGCAAGUCGAACGGAAAGGGCUCUUUCGGGGGGUACUCGAGUGGCGAACGGGUGAGUAACACGUGGGUAACCUGCCCUUGACUUUGGGAAAACUUCAGGAAACUGGGGUUAAUACCGGAUCGGAGCUCCUGCUGCAUGGUGGGGGUUGGAAAGUUUCGGCGGUUGGGGGUGGACUCGGGGCUUAUCAGCUUGUUGGUGGGGUAGUGGCUUACCAAGGCUGUGACGGGUAGGUGGCCUGAGAGGGUGACCGGCCACAUUGCUACUGAGAGACGGCGCAGACUCCAACGGGAGACAGCAGUGGGGAAUAUUGCCCAAUGGGCGGAAGCGUGAUGCGGCAACGCCGCGUGCGUGAUGACGGCCUUCGUGUUGUAAACCGCUGUCAGCUGUGACGAUGCGUGAGUGACGUUAAUGGGUAAAGAAGCACCGGCUAACUACGUG
rnacentral:rRNA from 1 species